CCCCCCCCCCUCCGCCUGCGCGGCCGCGCCCUUCCCGGGCUCCAGUGGUUGCAUUUCUCGCCCUGCUUCGAUCGCCCGACCCAGAGUGAGGCCCUUGGGCGGCCCCGAGUCCCGCCACCUUCGUUCCCGGAAAAAAACUCCCGUUUGUGGCGCUGCGGUGUGGUGUUCGCCCAGUGGUUGUUCGUAGGGCUCCUUGGAUUUUAAUUUUUGGGGGUGACCCGUCCUGAGCUUAAGCAGGAAAGGCGGACUGCCAAUAAAACAGGAAACUGGGUACUCGUUCUACCCACCUCGGAAGGAUGGAAGGCUGAGUCAACCUUGAGCCGGCUACCUGAACCCGGCUUCCGCCGGGAUCAAACUCAGGUCAUGAGC